AUUGAACGCUGGCGGCAGGCCUAACACAUGCAAGUCGAACGGUAACAGGAAGCAGCUUGCUGCUUCGCUGACGAGUGGCGGACGGGUGAGUAAUGUCUGGGAAACUGCCUGAUGGAGGGGGAUAACUACUGGAAACGGUAGCUAAUACCGCAUAACGUCGCAAGACCAAAGAGGGGGACCUUAGGGCCUCUUGCCAUCGGAUGUGCCCAGAUGGGAUUAGCUAGUAGGUGGGGUAGCGGCUCACCUAGGCGACGAUCCCUAGCUGGUCUGAGGGGAUGACCAGCCACACUGGAAGUGAGACACGGUCCAGACUCCUACGGGAGGCAGCAGUGGGGAAUAUUGCACAAUGGGCGCAAGCCUGAUGCAGCCAUGCCGCGUGUAUGAAGAAGGCCUUCGGGUUGUAAAGUACUUUCAGCGGGGAGGAAGGGAGUAAAGUUAAUACCUUUGCUCAUUGACGUUACCCGCAGAAGAAGCACCGGCUAACUCCGUG
rnacentral:rRNA from 1 species